ensembl:snRNA U1 U1 spliceosomal RNA
AUACUUACCUGGCAGGGGAGAUACCAUGAUCAUGAAGGUGGUUCACCCAAGGUGAGGCUCAGCCAUUGCACUGAGGCUGUGCUGACCUUUGCGAAUUCCCCAAAUGUGGGAAUCUCGACUGCAUAAUUUCUGGUAGUGGGGGACUGCGUCCGCGCUCUCCCCUG